CAGGGCUUCAGUCAGCAAAAGACUUUGCUUUCUGUUUGAUGAAAAUGUGAAAGACAGCAAAACUGCAUGCUAGUCAGCUGAGAUAUGAUGGCACGAAUGUGCUGUAUGUCCUCUGUAAUCCAAACUGGAUGGAGUAGGUGUAGAUGAGAAGCUGUCUUUACGGCGGGUAGCCGUGGUAGAAGAUUUCUUUGACAUUAUCUAUUCCAUGCAUGUUGAAACUGGGCCUAAUGGAGAACAAAUCAGAAAACAUGCUGGACAGAAGAGAACAUAUAAAGCAAUUCUCUAGGAAACCAAGCUCCACAGAUGGAGGAGUGAUGUGUGGCCUAGAGGAAUUAUCUGAGCAGCCAGGAGAAAGUGCAGAGGAUCCUCAGAGGGGUGGCUCUGCUUGCAUUUUUGUACAGCUCAGCAUCAGAGGAACUGCUUUGCUUUGAGAUAGUACAUUUCUCUCCAUGUCCUAAAGGUCUGUUUGGAUGCAUGUAGACAUCAGGCCCUGAGAUAUGAGGUACUGUACUGAACUGGAGACAGGGACACACAGGACAGAAAUGUUCAGGAGAAGAAUUGGUACAGCUUAAUGGGAAAGACAUGCAACAAACACAUGACUAGCUUCUCUGUGCCUUCGUUGAGAUACAUAUCUUGAUUUAAACCACUUAGCUGUAUAUGAAAUUUAAUUUCAAGUGUUGAGGGGUAUAUAGAGGGUGGGAGAAAGUGGGAAAAGUUAUUGCUUCAGGAACAGUGCAUUGCAAAAGUCACAAAGAACUCUUUGUAAUUUGGUGCAAACUGGGAGAAAAAAAGUUACCAUAUNCUUUCAGAUAGAAUAGAGGAUAGAAAAACAUUUUUUC
rnacentral:lncRNA from 1 species